rnacentral:lncRNA from 1 species
AAAAAAAUGACAAUUGGGUACUAGGCUUAAUAACUGGGUGACAAAAUAAUUUGUUCAACAAACCCAUGUGACAGAAGUUUUCCUAUAUAACAAACCUGCACACACACCCCUGAACCUAAAAGAAAAGUUUUUAAAAAAUUAAGAAAUUAAAAAAAAAAAAUACAAGUCCCUCUCCACAUUACCUGAGUUUAUGCGAAUGAAGUGACUCAUCGUGAGGCCCCUAGAUAGCUUCAGGAUGAGACUGGUUACCAGAAAGACCAACACAUGAUUACAGGGUUGCAACUUUCAGUCUCUCCCUUCCCAACACGCCAACCUCUUGGGAGAAGAGGGGACUGGAAAUUGAGUUCAAUUGCCAACAGCCAAUGAUUUAAUCAACUAUUUCUGCAUCAUAAAACCUCCAUUAGAAACCCCUAAACAACAGGAGUUUGGAGAGCUUCCUAGUUGGUGAGCACACUGAGGUGCUGGGAGGGUGGCUCUGCCCACCGCUCCCACCCCUUGCCCUACUCACCUCUUCCGUGUGGCUGUUUCUGAGUUGUUCCCUUUAUAAUAAAUUGGUAACCCUUCCCUCAACCCCUCAAAGCAGCAAGAUUUAUGCAAGCCUCCUGUGACAGCAGAGCUUCUGUCCCAUCAGUAGCCUUAUCAAAUCUGUCCUAUAGCCCCAUCAGACCUGAGCGAACACCUGCUUUCCAGGUCAUAAGACCCCCAUUUCAAGAGGGUCCUGCUGCAUACCCAGAAGGAAGGAAUACUGCACAGAGAAGCUAAGAGGAAUUUAAACAGACAGACCUUGCUGGACUUUCCUACUCAGUCUAUUAACAUUAGAUCAUACCCUUUCUGCCCAGUUAUUUUUCUCCAUGGCUGUCCGUACUUCAUUGAACCCAAGCCUAAAAAUGGGCAGUUUCCCCGUAUCUUUGGGUCUUUAUUCUGAAGGCUCCGUGUAAAACUGUAAUCAAAUAAAUCUGUAUACCUUUUC